CGGAACAAGCAAGUUGAGAACGGGAUGCCAGGUUGUAGAGAUGCACCCUCGAUCUGCAGAUGUGGUAGUACGAUCACGGGCCACGGUAGUCUAGGGACCAGAGUACGUGCCGAAGUCUGGAGCUGCUGGGCUUCUGGCUAUAGCCAGUGAGAUAUUUACUGAUAAGAACCUAUUCCGCCGUCUCAUUUCAUCAUCUGCAGAAGAUGCAGGAGGCGAGCAGCUUCAAGGCAAACCAGAUAAGUGGUCCUCACCCUUCAUCAAAGAAAUCUUCAUUUGCAACAGAAGGAGACUAUUACAGAAAACUGCAACCAAUCAAAAUGAAGAGGUGGUCCCAGUUCCGAUGACUACAUCGGCACACCCAAGGCUCAUGGAAUAUUGCAGAAGAGGGGCCAGAAAGGAUUGUAAGAGUUAGAGUAUGAGGGGGUUUGCUGUGAGAUCAUGUCACCUAGCAAUGUCAGAAACUACACCCAAAAGUCUUACCAACAUGACUGCCUAAACAUGGGUUGAACAAAGGCAACACCAAUAGGCAUAAAAGUGUUGACGGGGAAAGUCCAGGAAGCUUCAAUCUUACAUAAAGAUCUAU
rnacentral:lncRNA from 1 species